rnacentral:rRNA from 1 species
AGAGUUUGAUCAUGGCUCAGGAUGAACGCUAGCGGCAGGCUUAAUACAUGCAAGUCGAGGGGCAGCAGGGGUGUAGCAAUACACUCGCUGGCGACCGGCAAACGGGUGCGGAACACGUACGCAACCUACCCAGAACUGGGGGAUAGCCCGGGGAAACCCGGAUUAACACCUCAUAAGAUAGUGGAGUGGCAUCACUCAGCUAUUAAAACUCCGGUGGUUUUGGAUGGGCGUGCGGCUGAUUAGGUAGUUGGCGGGGUAACGGCCCACCAAGCCUGCGAUCAGUAACUGGUGUGAGAGCACGACCAGUCACACGGGCACUGAGACACGGGCCCGACUCCUACGGGAGGCAGCAGUAAGGAAUAUUGGUCAAUGGACGCAAGUCUGAACCAGCCAUGCCGCGUGAAGGAUGAAGGUCCUCUGGAUUGUAAACUUCUUUUAUAGGGGACGAAACCCGGAUAUUCUUAUCCGAUUGACGGUACCCUGGGAAUAAGCACCGGCUAACUCCGUGCCAGCAGCCGCGGUAAUACGGAGGGUGCAAGCGUUAUCCGGAUUCACUGGGUUUAAAGGGUGCGUAGGAGGGCAGGUAAGUCAGUGGUGAAAUCUUCGAGCUUAACUCGGAAACUGCCGUUGAUACUAUCUGUCUUGAAUAUUGUGGAGGUGAGCGGAAUAUGUCAUGUAGCGGUGAAAUGCUUAGAUAUGACAUAGAACACCAAUUGCGAAGGCAGCUCGCUACACAUAUAUUGACUCUGAGGCACGAAAGCGUGGG